GAGCCCAGGAGGCGGGGCGCCUGUGGGAGUCGUGGAGGGAACUUUCCCAGGCCCCGAGGCGGAUCGGGUAUUGAGUCCAUGGAGCGAGCUGAGAGCUAGAGCGAUGUCACCAUUUCUACCUGCCACGCAUCGGCGAAGGUUGGGACUCGACUGGUGUUUGAUCACGAUGGGAAAAUCAUCCAGAAAACCCCCUACCCCCACCCCAGAGGGACCACAGUCAGCGUGAAGCAGUUAUUUUCUACACUACCUGUGCACCAUAAGGAAUUUCAAAGGAAUAUUAAGAAGACGUGCCUGUUUCCCCUUCGCCUUCUGCCGUGAUUGUCAGUUUCCUGAGGCCUCCCCAGCCAUGCUUCCUGUACAGCCUGCAGAACUGAUGGCCGUAUAAGAAAAUAAACAACUUGCUAAAACUGCUGAAACUCCCUCUGCUUGUGAGAUUUAAAAAAACUGGCUGAAAUUGGUUGGAACCAACAUGUCCAAUGGAGUCUGAAUAGAAAGAGCUUGCUGACAUCACAGCCCGAAUUUCCACCACAUUUCAUACUAACUCCCCCUGAAUUUGCAUAUGCAAACCACAAGCAAGCAUGAUCAAACAGACAACUGCGCGUGUCCGAGGACUUUCCAGAUCUCCCCUUUCCUUCCACCAAUCACUUACUAAUCUGAGAAUCCAUCCCCUAAUAAAAUCACUGCCUUAAAGCCUGCACAGGAAGACAAAUUUGA
ensembl:lncRNA PMS2P4 PMS1 homolog 2, mismatch repair system component pseudogene 4